rnacentral:rRNA from 1 species
AAUCGGGCAACCGAGUUGUAAUUUGGAGACGGGACACUAGAGAGGAGGAAGGCGAUUAAGUGCCUUGGAACAGGCUGCCGUAGAGGGUGAGAGCCCCGUGAAUCGCUGGAGACCGAUCAAUUAGUGCCCGCCGAAGAGUCGAGUUGUUUGGGAAUGCAGCUCUAAGCGGGUGGUAUAUUCCAUCUAAGGCUAAAUAUUAGCGAGAGACCGAUAGCAAACAAGUACAGUGAUGGAAAGAUGAAAAGAACUUUGGAAAGAGAGUGAAAUAGUACGUGAAA